CGUGAAAUUGUUGAAAGGGAAGCGUUUAUGACCAGACUUGGACUUGGUUAAUCAUCUGGGGUUCUCCCCAGUGCACUUUUCCAGUUCAGGCCAGCAUCAGUUUUCCCCGGGGGAUAAAGGCGGCGGGAAUGUGGCUCUCUUCGGGGAGUGUUAUAGCCCGCCGUGUAAUACCCUGGGGGGGACUGAGGUUCGCGCAUCUGCAAGGAUGCUGGCGUAAUGGUCAUCAACGACCCGUCUUGAAACACGGG
rnacentral:rRNA from 1 species